CACCUACAUCACUCCCUAAACGUUAUCUCCACCGCCCCACCCUCCACCUUUCCGGCACCGCCCCCGGCGACCCAUCCCGGCAACUCACACCUCCCGCGCCCCCCAACCCUCCUGCUCCACCAACCCCCGAGAUCCGUCGGCGCUGGCACAACGCCUCCCCACAACACCUCGAGGUCACCGGCCCUCCUUCAUCGUCGUCGGCAGAGCGCGGAAACCACCUCCGGAAGCACCCUACCUCCAUAGGCGCCGCCAGGUGCCCCACCUCGAGAAGGAGACGCCGAAGCAACCCACCUCCACCCUCCGUCCUGCUCGCCGAUGGGGCCCAACCGCGCCCACGUCCCGCUCGCCGGCGCCCCCGUCCUGCUCGCCGACGCUGGCCCGCUCCACACCUGUCAUUUCUCGACCACCCGCGGCCCUCCACCGGAAUCCAAAAGGUAUGCGGCAUGGCCGUGGAGAUCCAGCAGCCGCAAGAGGUGGGCAAAUCCAGGGCCCUGAAGGUGGACGAGGAGUAUUCGUGUGAGCUGUUCACCGCCGAAGCUAGCAACGAAGACCGCACGAUUCGAGCUACAGGAGGAAUUGACUGCAAAUUGCACACAAGAAACAUUCAGAGGUCUCGUAUAAUAUUUGGAAAGCUUAUCAAUCGUUACUCUAGCACCGGUUCUAAGUAAGAGAAUUUUUCUCAAUAUCAGUACUUUAGUUCUAAUUUUGCAUUUCUAUAUGGAGGAUACAUACUGAUACUACACGCCACUGAUCUGUUUCUCUAGCUGUAAGCAAUGCAAAUAUAGAAUUAGUGUGACUUUUCACUAGUGGGAUUAUUCAUAUGUUAAAAUCGGACUACCUUUUCAGAUGGGGAAAACAGGGGGAAUAGCUGAUCCCCCAUAGCAGAUAUAUGUAGAUCCCCGCUUUUCUAGGGGCAAGUUGUGUACUCACCUUAGUUAAGUUGUAUAUGCACGCUCUUAGGAUUUUUCUGAACUGGUAAUCAUCUAAAUGAUAAGUUCAUGAAUUACUGUAUCCUAAAUUGUAGCAGAGAUUUUGUAGAGUUAUCUGACGGUGUCACCUACAUUUUAGUUGCCUUUAUUUAAAAUUGAUGCAACCAAGUUAAUUCACCAUGGUUGUUCAUCCGUUUUUUUUUCCACUAUAGCCUAUGGCAUUAAUCUGUCCAUGGAUUAAUUGUAGAGAAUUCCUCCAUUUCCUCCGAUUGCUUUUUUACUGCAUGGUUAUGCUCUUGUUGUCUUGAUAUGCUCCAAAUGUGUUGUUAUUCUGAUUUUGCCGGCACUAACAUUUGAGAUGUUCGUUUCUAUUUAUCGUUCAUUGGUCAUGGAGCUAUUAUUAUCUGGGUGCUUACUGGUAGCAUCGCUAUGUGAUGAUGAUAUUGUUUUUUUUUUGAUGAAAAGGAUGAUAUUGUUCAUCCAUGCUUUCACUUAUUUUUACUAUAGCCUUAUUUGUCUUUUGCCUGUAACCUAAGUGGCAGCCAAGAUUAGCCCAAGUAGUUUUCACCAGAGCCUAAGUUAUGUUCUUCAGUUGUUUUCACUAUAGCCUAAGUUGUCUUCAGUUUACCCUAAGUUGCAUUUGUUAUGUAGCCUAAGAUGUAGUAGGGAAAUCAUGCAUUUGUUAUGCAGGCGGAGAUUUGAUGUAUAAGCUUAUUCGCCAUUUUUUUUUAUCCAGUUGUUUUCACUCUAGCGUAAGUUGUUUUCCCAUUCUAGUCUAAGUUGUACCAGAGAUCAUGUAGAGUUGUAUGACGGUUUGUUCUGCUUCACUGUCUUCUUUGUUUCUAAACUAGGUUGGGAUUCACUUCAUACUCAAAGUUUACUUAUGAUCAAAUGUUUACAUGUUGAACUCUAAAUUUAUAUUUUCUUGUUACCUAUUUUUAGGUUUUGCACUGAAACAUCUACUUGCAGUCGAUAUCGGCAAGCACAACCUGCAUUUACCAGAGCCUGAAGGUGGAGGGAGCCUCCCUGCACCCCAAAUACAAGUGGGUCAGCAGCUGCAGACACUAGGCGUAGCGUGGUUGCACCUAAAUUUAAUGUAGGCGCACUUGCACAUCCUAUGGCUGCGCCAAAUGUACCUGGAGCAGUAAAGGCUCCACGCGUACGCCGGAAGGUUCAAGCGGUUGCAAGUGCGUUAAUGGCACACAGGCUUGUCCCCUACACAGAGGCUUCCUAGCAGACAAGCUUUAAGUCUGGUAAGAAUCAAUGAGUAAAGAUAAUACCAAGCGAGCCUGCCUGCGGCUACCAGAAGCUGACGCAGCAGUAGGGAGCUUCUAGUGCCUCUUCCACAAACUGCUCAGCAGAUUGUUGCAAAAAGAACCAGGCUGUGGCAUCGGCAUGAUCAACAAAGCAAAUGUUGUCUCCUAUAUCAAAGCUAUGCCACUAUGUUCAAAGUGAACAUAAACUUUGUUCUAUCUUGCAUCUACUACUGCAAUCUAUUGAUAGAAAGAUGUUUUGGUGUUUGUUCAACUUCUAGGUGUCUCUGUUCGGCAAACCAUUGUUGACAUUUUGCUUGUGCUUCCCUAUACCCUGAACUACUUGCUAUGUCGGAAACCUCAACCACCUAAGUUUGUAUUAGCACAUCUGGUUCAUACUAUAUUUUGUUACCAUACUGGUUCCAUGUAUAAUAUGUAUCCUCUUCUAUUAUUUUCCACAACGUGCA